rnacentral:rRNA from 1 species
CUACGGGCUGCUCCAGUGGGGAAUAUUGGACAAUGGGGGAAACCCUGAUCCAGCAAUGCCGCGUGUGUGAAGAAGGCCCGCGGGUUGUAAAGCACUUUCGGUUGGGAGGACUGCUUCUAGCACUAAUAUUGUUGGAAGUUGACGUUACCUUCAGAAGAAGCACCGGCUAACUCCGUGCCAGCAGCCGCGGUAAUACGGAGGGUGCAUGCGUUAAUCGGAAUUACUGGGCGUAAAGCGCGCGUAGGCGGCUAGAUCAGUCGGGUGUGAAAGCCCCGGGCUUAACCUGGGAACUGCAUCCGAUACUGUCUAGCUUGAGUACAGGAGAGGAGAGUGGAAUUCCACAUGUAGCGGUGAAAUGCGUAGAUAUGUGGAGGAACACCAAUGGCGAAGGCAGCUCUCUGGCCUGAUACUGACGCUGAGGUGCGAAAGCGUGGGGAGCAAACAGGAUUAGAUACCCCAGUAGUC